rnacentral:tRNA from 1 species
GUGCCCGUAGCUCAGCUGGAUAGAGCGUCAGGUUCCGGUCCUGAAGGUCAGGGGUUCAAAUCCUCCCGGGCAUACCA